AACUAAUUGGAUUUUGAGUGUUG
rnacentral:siRNA from 1 species